AGAGUUUGAUCAUGGCUCAGAUUGAACGCUGGCGGCAUGCUUUACACAUGCAAGUCGAACGGCAGCAUGGGCUUCGGCCUGAUGGCGAGUGGCGAACGGGUGAGUAAUGCAUCGGAACGUGCCCAGUCGUGGGGGACAACUAGUCGAAAGAUUAGCUAAUACCGCAUACGACCUGAGGGUGAAAGUGGGGGGAUCUUCGGACCUCACGCGAUUGGAGCGGCCGAUGUCAGAUUAGCUAGUUGGUGGGGUAAGAGCCUACCAAGGCGACGAUCUGUAGCGGGUCUGAGAGGAUGAUCCGCCACACUGGGACUGAGACACGGCCCAGACUCCUACGGGAGGCAGCAGUGGGGAAUUUUGGACAAUGGGGGCAACCCUGAUCCAGCCAUGCCGCGUGCGGGAAGAAGGCCUUCGGGUUGUAAACCGCUUUCGGACAGAAAGAAAUCGCACAGGAUAAUACCUUGUGUGGAUGACGGUACUGUAAGAAGAAGCACCGGCUAACUACGUGCCAGCAGCCGCGGUAAUACGUAGGGUGCGAGCGUUAAUCGGAAUUACUGGGCGUAAAGCGUGCGCAGGCGGAUUGUUAAGCAAGAUGUGAAAUCCCCGGGCUUAACCUGGGAAUGGCAUUUUGAACUGGCAGUCUAGAGUGCGUCAGAGGGGGGUGGAAUUCCACGUGUAGCAGUGAAAUGCGUAGAGAUGUGGAGGAACACCGAUGGCGAAGGCAGCCCCCUGGGAUGACACUGACGCUCAUGCACGAAAGCGUGGGGAGCAAACAGGAUUAGAUACCCUAGUAGUCC
rnacentral:rRNA from 1 species